rnacentral:rRNA from 1 species
GUACGGGUGAGUAACACGUGGAUGACCUACCCUCUAGUGGGGAAUAACCCUGGGAAACCGGGGCUAAUACCGCAUAAGCACGAGAGUGGAAAGCAGCAAUGCGCUGGAGGAGGAGUCCGCGGCCGAUUAGCUAGUUGGCAGGGUAAGAGCCUACCAAGGCAAAGAUCGGUAGCCGGCCUGAGAGGGCACACGGCCACACUGGCACUGAAACACGGGCCAGACUCCUACGGGAGGCAGCAGUGGGGAAUCUUGCACAAUGGGGGAAACCCUGAUGCAGCGACGCCGCGUGAGCGAUGAAGCCCUUCGGGGUGUAAAGCUCUUUCGGCAGGGAAGAUGAUGACGGUACCUGCAGAAGCAGCUGCGGCUAACUACGUGCCAGCAGCCGCGGUAAUACGUAGGCAGCAAGCGUUGUUCGGAGUUACUGGGCGUAAAGGGUGUGUAGGCGGUUGUUUAAGUUUGGUGUGAAAUCUCCCGGCUCAACUGGGAGGGUGCGCCGAAUACUGAAUGACUAGAGUGCGGGAGAGGAGAGUGGAAUUCCUGGUGUAGCGGUGAAAUGCGUAGAUAUC